UACAGAGGAUGCAAGCGUUAUCCGGAAUUACUGGGCGUAAAGCGUGCGCAGGCGGUUUGUUAAGUCCGUUGUGAAAGCCCCGAGCUCAACUUGGGAAUUGCAGUGGAUACUGGCAGGCUGGAGUACGGUAGAGGAAGGUGGAAUUCCCGGUGUAGCAGUGAAAUGCGUAGAUAUCUGGAGGAAUACCGGUGGCGAAGGCGGCAUCCUGGACCGGCAUUGACGCUGAUGAGCGAAAGCUAGGGGAGCAAACGGG
rnacentral:rRNA from 1 species